rnacentral:rRNA from 1 species
CACGGAGUUAGCCGGAGCUUACAAACGGUACCGUCAUCAUAGGGGGUAUUGUCCCCUACUUAUUCUUCCCGUUCUUGCGAAGUUUACAUCCUGAGGGAUUUCAUCCUUCACGCGGCGUUGCUGGGUCAGGCUUUCGCCCAUUGCCCAAAAUUCCCGA